UACGGCGGGGGCUAGCGUUGUUCGGAAUUACUGGGCGUAAAGCGCACGUAGGCGGCUUGGUAAGUUAGAGGUGAAAGCCUGGAGCUCAACUCCAGAAUUGCCUUUAAGACUGCCGAGCUAGCAGGUGAGAGAGGUGAGUGGAAUUCCGAGUGUAGAGGUGAAAUUCGUAGAUAUUCGGAAGAACACCAGUGGCGAAGGCGGCUCACUGGCUCAUACUGGACGCUGAGGUGCGAAAGCAUGGGGAGCAAACAGG
rnacentral:rRNA from 1 species